ACACUCCUACGGGAGGCAGCAGUGGGGAAUUUUGGACAAUGGGCGAAAGCCUGAUCCAGCAAUGCCGCGUGAGUGAAGAAGGCCUUCGGGUUGUAAAGCUCUUUUGUCAAGGAAGAAACGGUGAGAGCUAAUAUCUCUUGCUAAUGACGGUACCUGAAGAAUAAGCACCGGCUAACUACGUGCCAGCAGCCGCGGUAAUACGUAGGGUGCAAGCGUUAAUCGGAAUUACUGGGCGUAAAGCGUGCGCAGGCGGUUUUGUAAGUCUGAUGUGAAAUCCCCGGGCUCAACCUGGGAAUUGCAUUGGAGACUGCAAGGCUAGAAUCUGGCAGAGGGGGGUAGAAUUCCACGUGUAGCAGUGAAAUGCGUAGAUAUGUGGAGGAACACCGAUGGCGAAGGCAGCCCCCUGGGUCAAGAUUGACGCUCAUGCACGAAAGCGUGGGGAGCAAACAGGAUUAGAUACCCGUGUAGUCCCA
rnacentral:rRNA from 1 species